GACGAACGCUGGCGGCGUGCUUAACACAUGCAAGUCGAACGGUAAGGCCCUUCGGGGUACACGAGUGGCGAACGGGUGAGUAACACGUGGGUGAUCUGCCCUGCACUUCGGGAUAAGCCUGGGAAACUGGGUCUAAUACCGGAUAGGACCACUGCCUGCAUGGGUGGUGGUGGAAAGCUUUUGCGGUGUGGGAUGGGCCCGCGGCCUAUCAGCGUGUUGGUGGGGUGACGGCCUACCAAGGCGACGACGGGUAGCCGGCCUGGGAGGGUGACCGGCCACACUGGGACUGAGAUACGGCCCAGACUCCUACGGGAGGCAGCAGUGGGGAAUAUUGCACACUGGGCGCAAGCCUGAUGCAGCGACGCCGCGUGAGGGAUGACGGCCUUCGGGUUGUAAACCUCUUUCAACACCGACGAAGCGCAAGUGACGGUAGGUGCAGAAGAAGGACCGGCCAACUACGUGCCAGCAGCCGCGGUAA
rnacentral:rRNA from 1 species